GAUGAACGCUGGCGGCGUGCCUAAUACAUGCAAGUCGAGCGAACAGACGAGGAGCUUGCCCCUCUGACGUUAGCGGCGGACGGGUGAGUAACACGUGGAUAACCUACCUAUAAGACUGGGAUAACUUCGGGAAACCGGAGCUAAUACCGGAUAAUAUAUUGAACCGCAUGGUUCAAUAGUGAAAGACGGUUUUGCUGUCACUUAUAGAUGGAUCCGCGCCGCAUUAGCUAGUUGGUAAGGUAACGGCUUACCAAGGCAACGAUGCGUAGCCGACCUGAGAGGGUGAUCGGCCACACAGGAACUGAGACACGGUCCAGACUCCUACGGGAGGCAGCAGUAGGGAAUCUUCCGAAAUGGGCGAAAGCCUGACGGAGCAACGCCGCGUGAGUGAUGAAGGUCUUCGGAUCGUAAAACUCUGUUAUUAGGGAAGAACAAAUGUGUAAGUAACUAUGCACGUCUUGACGGUACCUAAUCAGAAAGCCACGGAUAACUACG
rnacentral:rRNA from 1 species